GUUUACGGCCAUACCAGCCUGGGUACGCCCGAUCUCGUCUGAUCUUGGAAGCUAAGCAGGGUCGGGCCUGGUUAGUACUUGGAUGGGAGACCGCCUGGGAAUACCAGGUGCUGUACGCU
rnacentral:rRNA from 1 species